AACGGACGCUAAUACCGGAUGACGACGAAAGUCCAAAGAUUUAUCGCCCAGGGAUGAGCCCGCGUAGGAUUAGCUAGUUGGUGAGGUAAAGGCUCACCAAGGCGACGAUCCUUAGCUGGUCUGAGAGGAUGAUCAGCCACACUGGGACUGAGACACCGCCCAGACUCCUACGGGAGGCAGCAGUAGGGAAUAUUGGACAAUGGGGGCAACCCUGAUCCAGCAAUGCCGCGUGAGUGAUGAACGCCUUAGGGUUGUAAAGCUCUUUUACCCGGGAUGAUAAUGACGGUACCGGGAGAAUAAGCCCCGGCUAACUCCGUGCCAGCAGCCGCGGUAAUACGGAGGGGGCUAGCGUUGUUCGGAAUUACUGGGCGUAAAGCGCACGUAGGCGGCGAUUUAAGUCAGAGGUGAAAGCCCGGGGCUCAACCCCGGAAUAGCCUUUGAGACUGGAUUGCUUGAAAUCGCAGAGGUGAGUGGAAUUCCGAGUGUAGAGGUGAAAUUCGUAGAUAUUCGGAAGAACACCUGUGGCUAAGGCGGCUCACUGGACGAUUGUUGACGCUGAGG
rnacentral:rRNA from 1 species